GGCCUGAUAGUGUAGUGGUUACACAUCCUCUUUCAAUACAAGAUCAUCAAUUUGCAAAGGAAGUCCCUGGUUCAAACCCAGGUCAGCCCA